UAUCAAUAAGCGGAGGAAAAGAAACCAACAGGGAUUGCCCUAGUAACGGCGAAGUGAAGCGGCAACAGCUCAAAUUUGAAAUCUGGCGCAAGCCCGAGUUGUAAUUUGUAGAGGAUGUUUCUGGCGACGUGCCUUCCGAGUUCCCUGGAACGGGACGCCAUAGAGGGUGAGAGCCCCGUACGGUUGGAUGCCUAGCCUCUGUGAAACUCCUUCGACGAGUCGAGUAGUUUGGGAAUGCUGCUCUAAAUGGGAGGUAUACGUCUUCUAAAGCUAAAUACCGGCCAGAGACCGAUAGCGCACAAGUAGAGUGAUCGAAAGAUGAAAAGCACUUUGAAAAGAGGGUUAAAAAGUACGUGAAAUUGUUGAAAGGGAAGCGUUCAUGACCAGACUUGGGCAGGUUGAUCAUCCGUGGUUCUCCGCGGUGCACUCUGCCUGCCCAGGCCAGCAUCAGUUCGCCCCGGGGGAUAAAGGCUUUGGGAAUGUGGCUCCCUCGGGAGUGUUAUAGCCCACUGUGUAAUACCCUGGGGUGGACUGAGGUUCGCGCUCUGCAAGGAUGCUGGCGUAAUGGUCAUCAACGACCCGUCUUGAAACACGGACCAAGGAGUCGUCUUCGUAUGCGAGUGUUCGGGUGUCAAACCCCUACGCGUAAUGAAAGUGAACGUAGGAGAGAGCUUCGGCGCAUCUCCGACCGAUCCUGAUGUUCUCGGAUGGAUUUGAGUAAGAGCAUACGGGGCCGGACCCGAAAGAAGGUGAACUAUGCCUGUAUAGGGUGAAGCCAGAGGAAACUCUGGUGGAGGCUCGCAGCGGUUCUGACGUGCAAAUCGAUCGUCAAAUAUGGGCAUGGGGGCGAAAGACUAAUCGAACCUUCUAGUAGCUGGUUCCGCG
rnacentral:rRNA from 1 species